rnacentral:rRNA from 1 species
AUGGUGAACCCACCGUAGGCCUUCGGGCCUAUGUCUUAUCAUAUAAUCUGAAUGUCUAAUAGAAUGUAAACCCAUUUCGUUGCCUUGAAAACGUAACGAAAGAAAACUAUACAACUUUCAACAACGGAUCUCUUGGCUCUCGCAUCGAUGAAGAACGCAGCGAAAUGCGAUAAGUAAUGUGAAUUGCAGAUUUUCAGUGAAUCAUCGAAUCUUUGAACGCACCUUGCGCCCCUUGGUAUUCCGAGGGGCAUGCCUGUUUGAGUGUCAUUAAAUCCUCAACCCCUCCGAUUCGUUUCGGUGGGGAUUGGACUUGGAGCGUGCUGGCGAAGGUCGGCUCCUCUUUAAAUGCAUCAGCGGAGAAAAUGCCUUUUGCGCCUCUGGCCGUUCAGCGUGAUAAUGAUGUUGCGCUGCGGUCGAGCUUAAGGUCCGCUUCCAAAGGUCCUCGGACAAAUAUACAUAUGACUUUUGACCUCAAAUCAGGUAGGACUACCCGCUGAACUUAAGCAUAUCAAUAAG